CGACUUUCAAACUCAAAAGCUCUGCCGAGUGCCGAGUUUAAACUUUAAAAAUAGUUUCAAAGCAAUUAAGUAAAGGAUUUUCCACCAAGUUUCUUUUCUUUGGUUUUUUCAAUUCCACUGUAAUAUAUUUUUGCUGAGAAGCAUAAUUUAAUAACUCAUAAUCAACUCAUAGCGUGGCUGAAGAUAUACAAGUUGAUAAGGUGAUAGGUGAAAGUGGAGAUUCAAAUCAAGCAACUUAAUCUGAAACCAUUAAAACUCAGUCGACUAUUGCUAAAAGAAGAAAAAAAGGUCUAAUGCGUGGAAUCAUUUUACAGAAAUUGUUAGUUCUGAAGGUACAAAACCAAAAUGUGUCCAUUGCUCCAAUGAAUAUUCUUUUAAGUCAAGAGACGGUACGUCCACUCUUCUUGGUCAUCUAUUGACGUGUCCUACUAGUGUUGAUAAAAAAACAAUCUAAUUUAGCUUUUAAAGUUAUUCCUGGGGUAGUCAAGGUGAUGUAGCUGUUGUGCUUUGGAAAUUUGACCAAGAAGAGUGUAGGAAGGCUUUAUGUCGUAUGGGGAUAAUUGAUGAGUUUCCUUUUAACUUUGUUGAAAAAGAAGGUUUUCGGGCGUUUAUGAAAGUGACACAACCUAAUUUUUGGAUCCCUUCCCGUAGUACUGUCACUAAGGAGUUUUAAUCUUUAGAAUGAAGAAAAACAAAAGCUAAAGAGGUAUUUUAUGAAAACCAAACAGAGAAUCUGUAAACCACCGACACCUAAACUUCCAUACAAGAAUUAAUUACAUGUGUAUAACUGCCCAUUAGAUUGACAGUGAAUGAAAUAUGCGUAAGAAAAUUCUUAAUUUUUGUCCUAUUAUUAGCCAUAAAGGUGAAGAUAUGGCAAAUGAUAUUGGUAGGUGCUUACGUGAGUGGAGAAUAAAUAAAAUAUUCACUAUCACUGUAGAUAAUGCGAGCUCAAAUUAUGUAACGGUAAAAGAGCUAUCUAAGCAUUUGACAAAGAUGGGAGCUAAUCUGAUGAACGGUGAUCACCUCCAUGUGAGGUGUAUGACGCAUAUUAUGAACCUUGUUGUCCAGGAUAGUUUGAAAGAAAGUUCUGUGUCUAUUGAACGUGUUAGACAUGCAGUGAGAUAUGUUAGGCAAUCUCCUGCAAGGUUGAAAAGGUUUUAAGAAAGUUGUGAUGAUGAACAACUCAGUUGCAAGAAAUCUUUGUUCUUAGAUGUUCCAACUAGAUGGAACUCCACCUACCUAAUGUUAAGUAGGGUUGUUGAAUUUGAGAAUGCAUUUACAAAUUAUGCUUCUCGUGAAAUUGGCCUAAGACAUUAUCUUGAGAAUUCUUAUAUUGAAGUUGGAGAAAAUGUUGGUGAACUUUUGAGUAGUGAUUGGGUUUAGGUGAAAAGAAUUAUAAAAUUUCUUGACACUUUUUAUCUUCUCACUUUGAAAAUAUCUGAAUCACUUUACGUUACAUCUAAUAUUCAUUUUCUUAAAAUUUGUGUUGUUGUUGUUUAUUAGAAUCAUUUGAUUGCAAGUGAAGAUACUGAUUUAAGUAAUAUGGCGAGGAAGAUGAAAGAAAAAUUUGAUAAGUAUUGAGGUGAUCCAACAAAAAUGAACAAGAUAAUUUUUAUUUCAUGUGUUUUAGAUCCUCGUUACAAGCUUGAUUCAGUUGGCUAUGCACUUAUAAAGAUGUUUGGAGAAAAUAAAGGUCUAUCUUUGAAAGAAGCAGUGAAGAAAUACAUAAUUUUAUUAUUUAAUGAAUAUGUAAAAUCCAAUUCAAAAGGGCUAGUGGUUGUUGUUUCUUCACCUUGCUCUUCACUAGAGACUUCUACUUUGAUGCUUUCUGGCAGUCAAGUAAGUGCCAAAGGUACAAGACCUUUAGAUUCACUCAUGCAAGAUCUAAAGCAAUAUAAAGCUAUGAAUAGAGGUCUAGAUGCUAGAACAGAGUUAGAUAAAUAUUUUGGAGAAGAAACUGAAGAUGAUACUAAAGAAUUUAACAUUCUGCUCUGGUGGAAAAUGAAUGCAACAAGAUUUUCUGCUCUUGUUAAUAUGGAUUGUGAUGUAUUAGCUAUUCUCGUUUCAAGUGUUGCAUCUGAAUCUGUGUUUAGUACAGGAGGACGUCUUCUUGAUUCAUUUAGGAGUUCAUUGACUCCUAAAUUGGUGCAAGUUUUAGUGUGUCUUUAAGAUUGGCUUUGAAGUGAACAAUUAAAACAACCUGUUAGUAUUGAGGAAGAUCUUGAUAAUCUCGAACAAAUUGAAAAAGGUAAUAAUAUUAUCUUUAUAUGUGUUGUUGUUAUAAAUGAUUUUUAUUUAUUAGUUGACUCAUACAAGCCUACAAGAUGACUUUCACAAGGUUAUUAAUAGUAUAAAAAGAUAAAAGUAAUUUAUAUUAUGUUUCUUUAUUAGUUGAUACUUUGUUGUGUUGUAAGAUUACUGAUAAUGACAACAAUUUGUAUUGUACUUGAUCUCUAUUUUUUUUGGAUGACUCUAGUAUACUUAGUCCCUUGCAGGUUAUUUUACAUAAAAAGUUAUUCAUAUGCAUCAAAUGUCACGCUACUUUUAGAUAAUAUAUCAAUUACUUGAGUUUUGAUUAUUUAUUAAUAUUUGGUUUACAUUGUCAAUGAUAGAAUCAUGGUUGCUACAUCUUUCAAGUAGGAUUUAUGGAUAUGUUGGCUGCUACAUCUUUCAGUGGACAGAAUUAUGGCUGCUACAUCUUUCAGUGUGCAAAAGCAAGUGUGCAACUACAAGUUAUUUCUGUGUAAAAGUUAUUCUUAUCGCUGCUACAUCUUUCAAAGUUGAGACUUGAGAUUGUUCAAUUCAAGGAAAAAGAGCAUUUUGCUGAGUAUAUCGAGCAAAAGCUGUUGAGACUUAGUAUUUUGUUUUAUUUUUUAGAUAAAUAUUAAGAUUCUUAAUUUCUUAGUUAGAUGAAACAGUUUUCUUGAUGUUAUGUUUUUUUUCCUGAAUGGAAACUUGGAAAGAGGUGAUUUUGAAACGUGAGAGGCAAGUGCUAGUUUUUACUAAAAAUCUACAGGGUAGCCUGUAGGUGCUUUUUGCCUAUUGUUUAAAUAGCUCUUAAUGUGCACAGAUUCUACCCAUCUGUAAGUCUCAACAUCUUUCUCUGUUUGUUUGAUGCAACACAGUUAAUUCUCCUCAUUCAUCCAACUGUGUAUAUCCCUAUAAUAGAAAAAAGAAAAUCCAUACCAUUAAUUUGAUGAUAGAGAGUACAAUUUAUCAGAUAAUCGAUAGUGCAUGUAGCAGGAUUGUCCGUUCUUUUCAUAGUUAAUGUUAUUUGUCUCAUUUAGAGUUCUGGAUCUAUUUAGGCAUUUCUCUUGUAGUGGCCAUUCAAUUUGUGAAAAUGGGUGUUGCUUCAGAAGGAAUGAAAGUGAAAGAGUAUAUUUGGCGUGGUCAUGAUCCUACAGCUGUAGUUGUCAUGACUGAGGUAAUAGACACUAUGUUUUUAUUAGAUUUCCAAGCUACUUAUACGUGGUAUUGUUAGUGAUGCAUGAUUUGGAGUUCAAUCUGUAGCUGGUUAUCGUGGGUGCAUAAUUGGUCGUAGUGAAUAUCACAAUAGGAAAUCCAAUUUAUAAUCCCAUUAGUUCUAUUGUUGUGGGCAACCUUCUCGGAAUGGUAAAUGAGCCUAUACACUUGUUCAAAUUUAUUAUUUGUGAUUUCUUUAUUUUAAUGUAUAGUUAAAACUCUGGCACAACAAAUGGAGUAUGAAUUGCAGGUUGCUGUAUUUUUAAUUCAGAGGACCAAGCAUGCUUUAAUUGAAACAGCAAUUGAUGACAAAGAAUUGGAAAAAAUUGUGAAGUUCUUGAAAAAUGAUCCAGUAUGUUCUUUCUGGACCACUCUUUUUCGUAAUCUGGUUGAUUAAUUAACUGUACUAUCAGAAAUAUUCUUUCCACUGCAGGUUGUUGAUUCUGUUUAUGAUUGCAAAAGUGAUGUGAUUGGACUUGACUUCUUUAGAUUUAAGACUGAGAUAGGUGAUUGGAUCUAGUGCUACCUUUUUUUCUAGUUAAAAUCUAUUGGUAUUUCGUGAAGUAUUCCUGUUAGAAAUUUAGUGAUGUCGUUGUUUAUUGGAAUCUAUCCUUUUUUUAUAAUGGUGGUUUUUGGGCGAACUUGCACACAGUUCGACUAUUCCACGGAUAUCUGCUACUGACCCACCAAUGCAGGUACUGGGUAACUUUGCCCAGGCUUAGGCUGAUGGAAAGAGAUCACCUAGCAUUUUUUUCUUUGUUGGGGUUUGAACUUUGGUCUCUAAGGUUUUCCUGCUACAGAGCCACAUCCUUUGGUGCUCCUAUUGAAUGUUUUCUUAAGGGCAAGUCAUCCAUAAUACAUAGUGAAUAUAGAAUCCUUUAAAGCUUUUGAGAGUUUGGUUUAUUAUUUUCGGACAGGUCUGCUGCGUGAGCAGUUAAAAACUAUGUUGUUUCUGUUGAGCCUUCCCUUAAACAGAGGUAUGAACGUCAAGCCUUAACUAGUAUAUAUGACUCGGUUGCAUUGUUGUAGACUUUGGUGGUAUACUAAGAACCUCAUGAUGUACCCUUACAAAUAUUCAUUAAUCUGCUUUCUUUACAACUCCAAGUUUGUUAUCUCAAAAUGUGUGGGUGGAUUCCUAUAUCCUGAUUUCAACUUGUAGUCAUCCUCAAAUGGUGAAUUGAGAUAUGUGUCUGGUGCUGGCAUCACAUUAUGGAUAUGGCUAAGAAGGAGAAUAUAGAAGGGAGGUGUGCAGCAUAUCGCAUUCCUUAUAAUAAGGAAAAGAUUGUUGGCAUGGGAGCAAAUUAUGAUAAGGUAAUGGCUGAGAUGAGCACUGAGAAAAGGUUGUCUUCUCGUAAGGGAAAAAGUAAAGCAGCAGAUUCUAGUAAGCAACUUAGCAUUGAGAUGAGCACUGAGAAAAGGUUGUCUUCUCUACUUCACUUGAGGUAGUGAUAUGGACUGCGUACACUCUACCCUCCCCAGACCCCACUAGGUGGGAAUACACUAGGUGGGAAUACACUGGAGAUGACCACUGAAAUUGCUUGAUUGCUUUCCUGUUGGUAGAAGUAAUUUUCAAUAGAACAUUUAUUUAUGAUGAUCGAGGAUCAAGGCUGCAGUGGAUGAUGUGGUUAAGAAAGCAUUUGGUGAAACUUUAUUUAUGAAAGCUUUUGCUGGAACCCUUGUGCAAUUCAUGAAAAAACAGUUCAAAUUCCAAUCCUAUAUAGGGUGCCACAGACUCCUAAUUUGUUGUAAUGUAUGCCACUUUUGUUUCAAGAAUGUCAUAAUGUGAAGAGAAAUUGAUGUACUAUAGCUUGGGCAAAUGAAACUUUGAAAACUUUUUGUUUAUAAUGUUGACAGUUCUCUUUGAAACAUCUACAACAUAAAUUGAAAAAAUUAUUAUGAUUGAGAUUG